GGAAGUGUUGUAGCUCAGUGGUAGAACUCAUGCUUAGCAUGCAGAGGGUCCCAGGUUCAAUCCCUGGCGUCUCCA